UAUCUACUUCACUAUCUGUAAAAUUCAAUCCCCAUCUCCUAUAUACAAUUGCUGGUGGAUGAGGGCUACUCUAUUUUUUUGUGAGGUAAUACGAUGUCUACAAAAAAGCUAAUAUUACUGUAUAUUGAAUGACAACCAUACAACUAAUCAUAUCAACACAAUAUUGUAAAUUUUUAUGACACAUGCUAAACACAGAGCACCAAAAGUAUCCUCCACAAGAAGGGGCUAUUAUCAAGCCACCAAUAGAUCCACAUGCU
rnacentral:lncRNA from 1 species